GUCUGACGGAGCAACGCCGCGUGAGUGUAUGAAGGUUUUCGGAUCGUAAAGCUCUGUUGUUAGGGAAGAACAAGUACCGUUCGAAUAGGGCGGUACCUU
rnacentral:rRNA from 1 species